rnacentral:rRNA from 1 species
CCCUUAGAUGUUCUGGGCCGCACGCGCGCUACACUGAUGCAUUCAGCGAGUCUAAAACCUGGUCUGAUAGGGCUGGGUAAUCUUUUGAAUGUGCAUCGUGAUUGGGAUAGAUGAUUGCAAUUCUUCAUCUUCAACGAGGAAUGCCUAGUAAACGCAAGUCAUCAGCUUGCAUUGAUUACGUCCCUGCCCUUUGUACACACCGCCCGUCGCUCCUACCGAUUGAAUGUUCCGAUGAAUACCAUGGACUGAGAGUAUGAAUGGGUUCGCCUAUUUCUGCUUCUCGGGAAGUGGAGUAAAUCUUAACAUUUAGAGGAAGGAGAAGUCGUAACA